rnacentral:rRNA from 1 species
GACGAACGCUGGCGGCGUGCUUAACACAUGCAAGUCGAACGGAAAGGCCCUGCUUUUGUGGGGUGCUCGAGUGGCGAACGGGUGAGUAACACGUGAGUAACCUGCCCUUGACUUUGGGAUAACUUCAGGAAACUGGGGCUAAUACCGGAUAGGAGCUCCUGCUGCAUGGUGGGGGUUGGAAAGUUUCGGCGGUUGGGGAUGGACUCGCGGCUUAUCAGCUUGUUGGUGGGGUAGUGGCUUACCAAGGCUUUGACGGGUAGCCGGCCUGAGAGGGUGACCGGCCACAUUGGGACUGAGAUACGGCCCAGACUCCUACGGGAGGCAGCAGUGGGGAAUAUUGCACAAUGGGCGGAAGCCUGAUGCAGCAACGCCGCGUGCGGGAUGACGGCCUUCGGGUUGUAAACCGCUUUCGCCUGUGACGAAGCGUGAGUGACGGUAAUGGGUAAAGAAGCACCGGCUAACUACGUGCCAGCAGCCGCGGUGAUACGUAGGGUGCGAGCGUUGUCCGGAUUUAUUGGGCGUAAAGGGCUCGUAGGUGGUUGAUCGCGUCGGAAGUGUAAUCUUGGGGCUUAACCCUGAGCGUGCUUUCGAUACGGGUUGACUUGAGGAAGGUAGGGGAGAAUGGAAUUCCUGGUGGAGCGGUGGAAUGCGCAGAUAUCAGGAGGAACACCAGUGGCGAAGGCGGUUCUCUGGGCCUUUCCUGACGCUGAGGGGCGAAAGCGUGGGGAGCGAACAGGCUUAGAUACCCUGGUAGUCCACGCUGUAAACGGUGGGUACUAGGUGUGGGGUCCAUUCCACGGGUUCCGUGCCGUAGCUAACGCUUUAAGUACCCCGCCUGGGGAGUACGGCCGCAAGGCUAAAACUCAAAGGAAUUGACGGGGCCCCGCACAAGCGGCGGAGCAUGCGGAUUAAUUCGAUGCAACGCGUAGAACCUUACCUGGGUUUGACAUGGAUCGGGAGUGCUCAGAGAUGGGUGUGCCUCUUUUGGGGUCGGUUCACAGGUGGUGCAUGGCUGUCGUCAGCUCGUGUCGUGAGAUGUUGGGUUAAGUCCCGCAACGAGCGCAACCCUUGUUCACUGUUGCCAGCACGUUAUGGUGGGGACUCAGUGGAGACCGCCGGGGUCAACUCGGAGGAAGGUGGGGAUGACGUCAGGUCAUCAUGCCCCUUAUGUCCAGGGCUUCACGCAUGCUACAAUGGCUGGUACAGAGAGUGGCGAGCCUGUGAGGGUGAGCGAAUCUCGGAAAGCCGGUCUCAGUUCGGAUUGGGGUCUGCAACUCGACCUCAUGAAGUCGGAGUCGCUAGUAAUCGCAGAUCAGCAACGCUGCGGUGAAUACGUUCCCGGG